rnacentral:rRNA from 1 species
AGAGUUUGAUCCUGGCUCAGGAUGAACGCUGGCGGCGUGCCUAAUACAUGCAAGUCGAGCGAACCACUUCGGUGGGAAGCGGCGAACGGGUGAGUAACACGUAGGUGAUCUGCCCAUCAGACGGGGACAACGAUUGGAAACGAUCGCUAAUACCGGAUAGGACGAAAGUUUAAAGAUGCUCCUGGCAUCACUGAUGGAUGAGCCUGCGGCGCAUUAGCUAGUUGGUGGGGUAAAGGCCUACCAAGGCGACGAUGCGUAGCCGACCUGAGAGGGUGAACGGCCACACUGGGACUGGGACACGGCCCAGACUCCUACGGGAGGCAGCAGUAGGGAAUCUUCGGCAAUGGGCGAAAGCCUGACCGAGCAACGCCGCGUGAAUGAAGAAGGCCUUCGGGUUGUAAAAUUCUGUUAUAAGGGAAGAAAGGUGAUAGGAGGAAAUGACUAUCAAUUGACGGUACCUUAUGAGAAAGCCACGGCUAACUACGUG